rnacentral:rRNA from 1 species
UACGUAGGGUGCGAGCGUUAAUCGGAAUUACUGGGCGUAAAGCGUGCGUAGGCGGUUCGUUAAGUUCGUUGUGAAAUCCCCGGGCUCAACCUGGGAACUGCAUUUGUGACUGCAUCGCUGGAGUGCGGCAGAGGGGGGUGGAAUUCCGCGUGUAGCAGUGAAAUGCGUAGAUAUGCGGAGGAACACCGAUGGCGAAGGCAAUCCCCUGGGCCUGCACUGACGCUCAUGCACGAAAGCGUGGGGAGCAAACAGG